AGCAGCCGCGGUAAUUCCAGCUCCAAUAGCGUAUAUUAAAGUUGUUGCAGUUAAAAAGCUCGUAGUUGAAUUUUAGGCCUGGCCGGGCGGUCCGUCUUUGGCGAGUACUGUCCUGUGUCGGUCCACCUUCUGGUGAACCAGUAUGUCCUUUAUUGGGUGUGCCGGGGAGCCAGGACCAUUACCUUGAAAAAAUUAGAGUGUUUAAAGCGGGCAUUUGCUUGAAUAGAUUAGCAUGGAAUAAUAGAAUAGGACGUUGUGGUUCUAUUUUGUUGGUUUCUAGGACCACCGUAAUGAUUAAUAGGGAUAGUUGGGGCAUUAGUAUUCAAUUGUCAGAGGUGAAAUUCUUGGAUUUAUUGAAGACUAACUAUUGCGAAAGCAUUUGCCAAGGAUGUUUUCAUUAAUCAAGAACGAAAGUUAGGGAGUCGAAGACGAUCAGAUACGUCGUAGUCUUAACCAUAAACUA
rnacentral:rRNA from 1 species